rnacentral:rRNA from 1 species
GACGAAUGCUGGCUGCGUGCUUAACACAUGCAAGUCGAACGGUGAACCAGGGCUUGCCCUGGGGAUCAGUGGCGAACGGGUGAGUAACACGUGGGCAACCUGCCCCUCACUCUGGGAUAACUCCGGGAAACCGGGGCUAAUACCGGAUACGACCUCAUGCGACAUCUCGUGAGGGGGAAAGAACUUCGGUGAGGGAUGGGCCCGCGGCCUAUCAGCUAGUAGGUGGGGUAACGGCCCACCAAGGCGACGACGGGUAGCCGGCCUGAGAGGGCGACCGGCCACACUGGGACUGAGACACGGCCCAGACUCCUACGGGAGGCAGCAGUGGGGAAUAUUGCGCAAUGGGCGAAAGCCUGACGCAGCGACGCAGCGUGAGGGAUGAAGGCCUUCGGGUUGUAAACCUCUUUCAGCGGGGACGAAGCGAAAGUGACGGUACCCGCAGAAGAAGCACCGGCUAACUACGUGCCAGCAGCCGCCGUAAUAC